rnacentral:lncRNA from 1 species
CGACCGAUAACACGAGCGUGAUCUCGUUUAAUCAGGACCAUUGCUUGCGUAGAUCACCCCUUAAAUACUCCAUCUCCACCACUCCAACCCUCACCACUCUCAGUGGGUCACUUCACUGCUUCACACACUUUGACACAAUAAUUCUCACAUUUUUUUCUCAUUUUUUUUCUUCUCCGUGUGUGAAAUUGCCAAGGCGAAAUAGAUUACAGAGUGUGGCUGGUUGUAGAUGAGGAGCCUACUGCUGCAGCAGCUGCUGCUGCUGCUGUGGUGUCAAAUUCUGGGUAUUAAUAGCCAUUUGGGGUGCAAAUUGCCUAA